AACCUACAAAAGAAGUCUAAACCAGAGGUGGGGUUGCUCCGGCAAGACCCUCCGACGCUCAAGUCAGUUCUUUGCCUCAACAAAAAUGGAGUGCUCGAACGAAAAUUUUAGCAGAGUUUUGGGAUAGAAAAUAGAGCUUAGAGAAUAACGUAUCUAGGGUCCCCUUUUAUAGAUGGGGAGAGCAGAGGAUUGAUAGCGACUAUUUAUGAUCGCCUCAUCGUGGGCCGUACGGGGCCAGGAGGAAUUAAUCAUGA
rnacentral:lncRNA from 1 species